rnacentral:rRNA from 1 species
CAAUAGCGUAUAUUAAAGUUGUUGCAGUUAAAAAGCUCGUAGUUGGAUUUCUGGUGGGAGCGAUCGGUCUGGCGCUUAGCGCGAGUACUUGCAUCGUCUCCGGCCAUCCUUGGGGAGAGUCUGUCUGGCAUUAAGUUGUCGGGCAGAGGAUCCUCAUCGUUUACUGUGAAAAAAUUAGAGUGUUCAAAGCAGGCUUAUGCCGUUGAAUAUAUUAGCAUGGAAUAAUAAGAUAGGACUUUGGUACUAUUUUGUUGGUUUGCGCACCAAAGUAAUGAUUAAUAGGGACAGAUGGGGGUAUUCGUAUUCCGUUGUCAGAGGUGAAAUUCUUGGAUUUACGGAAGACGAACUACUGCGAAAGCAUUUACCAAGGAUGUUUUCAUUAA